rnacentral:tRNA from 1 species
GUACGGUACCAUUGAUUGGGGGUGUAGCUCAUAUGGUAGAGCGCUCGCUUCGCAUGCGAGAGGCACGGGGUUCGAUUCCCCGCACCUCCAU